UAUUGAAAAAAUGGAAGUCUUUUCAACAUGCUCUUCAACUCUUCAAAACAGUUUUAAUAUGUUGUGUAAUUCGACAGAAGAUAUUAAAUGGUUUGAAGAAAUUGAGCCUAUGAAAAUGUUCAAGAUUCUAGAAAAACAAUUUUAUCCAUUCAAAGAAGUUCCUUACUUUUCAUUUAAUGAAACUUUUAAAAUAGCUGAAAAUGAAAAAAAGCUUAUUCAUCUUAUUUUACUUUGGGGAUCUCUUGACGAUCAGUCAUGCUGAGGUUCAGGGCGGACUCUUAGGGAGAGUGCCUUAGAGAGUCCGCCCGUUAUGCAACUUCUAUCUGAACGAUUUGUUAGUUGCUGGUCCCUUGUAGCUGAUAUGGAGGAGCUUGUGAAUCUUGAUCCUCUGUCAGAUAUUAGUAGAAAUGCAAAAAAUGCACUUGAAAGUUAUAAAUUUCCAGUUCAAUCCAUUAUCUUAACUCCUAAUGGUUCAGUCAUUCAUAGUGUAAAUGCAAAUGAUAUUUUAAAUAGAAGACAAUAUGAUCUAUA
rnacentral:lncRNA from 1 species